rnacentral:rRNA from 1 species
CCUACGGGGGGCUGCAGUAGGGAAUUUUCGGCAAUGGAGGAAACUCUGACCGAGCAACGCCGCGUGAGUGAAGAAGGUCUUCGGAUUGUAAAGCUCUGUUGUAAAGGAAGAAUGCUAUGGAUAGAAUCCAUAGGUGACGGUACUUUACCAGAAAGCCACGGCUAACUACGUGCCAGCAGCCGCGGUAAUACGUAGGUGGCGAGCGUUAUCCGGAAUUAUUGGGCGUAAAGGGUGCGCAGGCGGCCAGAUAAGUUUGAGGUGAAAGACCGGAGCUC